rnacentral:piRNA from 1 species
AUAGCCUAGACCUGAAUUUGAUCCUCAG